rnacentral:rRNA from 1 species
GGCCGCGGGAAUUCGAUUGAGUUUGAUCCUGGCUCAGGAUGAACGCUGGCGGCGUGCCUAACACAUGCAAGUCGAACGGGGGAGCAUGAGGAAAAAAGCGCUUGCGUUUUUGGAAUCAUGUUUUCCAGUGGCGGACGGGUGAGUAACGCGUGGGCAACCUGCCCUGUACAGGGGGAUACCAUCUGGAAACAGAUGCUAAUACCGCAUAAGCGCAUCGGCCCGCAUGGCCAGAUGCGGAAAGGGAGCAAUCCCGGUACAGGAUGGACCCGCGUCUGAUUAGCCAGUUGGCAGGGUAACGGCCUACCAAAGCGACGAUCAGUAGCCGGCCUGAGAGGGUGGACGGCCACAUUGGGACUGAGACACGGCCCAGACUCCUACGGGAGGCAGCAGUGGGGAAUAUUGCACAAUGGGGGAAACCCUGAUGCAGCGACGCCGCGUGAGUGAAGAAGUAUUUCGGUAUGUAAAGCUCUGUCAGCAGGGAAGAAGAAAGACGGUACCUGACCAAGAAGCCCCGGCUAACUACGUGCCAGCAGCCGCGGUAAUACGUAGGGGGCAAGCGUUAUCCGGAAUCACUGGGUGUAAAGGGAGCGUAGACGGCUGUGCAAGCCUGGAGUGAAAGGCGGGGGCCCAACCCCCGGACUGCUCUGGGAACUGUAUGGCUGGAGUGCANGAGAGGUAAGUGGAAUUCCUGGUGUAGCGGUGAAAUGCGUAGAUAUCAGGAGGAACACCAGUGGCGAAAGCGGCUUACUGGACUGUAACUGACGUUG